rnacentral:rRNA from 1 species
UGUGGACGUUACCAAACUGUUGCCUCGGCGGGGUCACGCCCCGGGUGCGUCGCAGCCCCGGAACCAGGCGCCCGCCGGAGGAACCAACCAAACUCUUUCUGUAGUCCCCUCGCGGACGUAUUUCUUACAGCUCUGAGCAAAAAUUCAAAAUGAAUCAAAACUUUCAACAACGGAUCUCUUGGUUCUGGCAUCGAUGAAGAACGCAGCGAAAUGCGAUAAGUAAUGUGAAUUGCAGAAUUCAGUGAAUCAUCGAAUCUUUGAACGCACAUUGCGCCCGCCAGUAUUCUGGCGGGCAUGCCUGUCCGAGCGUCAUUUCAACCCUCGAACCCCUCCGGGGGAUCGGCGUUGGGGAUCGGGACCCCUCACACGGGUGCCGGCCCCGAAAUACAGUGGCGGUCUCGCCGCAGCCUCUCCUGCGCAGUAGUUUGCACAACUCGCACCGGGAGCGCGGCGCGUCCACGUCCGUAAAACACCCAACUUUCUGAAAUGUUGACCUCGGAUCAGGUAGGAAUACCCGCUGAACUUAAGCAUA